rnacentral:rRNA from 1 species
UGCCAGCAGCCGCGGUAAUACGGAGGGAGCGAGCGUUAAUCGGAAUUACUGGGCGUAAAGCGCGCGUAGGCGGCUUUGUAAGUCGGAUGUGAAAGCCCAGGGCUUAACCCUGGAAUUGCAUUCGAUACUGCAUGGCUAGAGUAUGGUAGAGGGAAGUGGAAUUUCCGGUGUAGCGGUGAAAUGCGUAGAUAUCCGGAGGAACAUCAGUGGCGAAGGCGGCUUCCUGGACCAACACUGACGCUGAGGCGCGAAGGCGUGGGGAGCAAACAGGAUUAGAUA